UACGUAGGGUGCGAGCGUUAAUCGGAAUUACUGGGCGUAAAGCGUGCGCAGGCGGCUUUGUAAGCCAGAUGUGAAAUCCCCGGGCUUAACUUGGGAAUUGCGCUCGAAACUACUUUGCUGGAGUGUGGCAGAGGAAGGUGGAAUUCCACGUGUAGCGGUGAAAUGCGUAGAGAUGUGGAGGAACACCAAUGGCGAAGGCAGCCUUCUGGGCCAACACUGACACUGAGGCACGAAAGCGUGGGGAGCAAACAGG
rnacentral:rRNA from 1 species